AGGGUUGUAGUUAAUAAUAACAUUUGGGUUGCAUUCAAAAAGUAUUGAGAUUGAAUCAAUCAACCUUA
rnacentral:tRNA from 1 species